rnacentral:rRNA from 1 species
UAAUCGCGAAUCAGAAUGUCGCGGUGAAUACGUUCCCGGGCCUUGUACACACCGCCCGUCACACCAUGAGAGUCGAUAACACCCGAAGCCUGUGAGCUAACCGCAAGGGGGCAGCAGUCGAAGGUGGGGUUGAUGAUUGGGGUGAAGUCGUAACAAGGUAAC